ACCUUUUGCAUCAUGAUUUAGCCAGCAGCAUCAAGCAAAGAGAACUUUAGUUUGACACCCCGAAACUAGGUGAGCUACUCCAAGACAGCCUAACAAUAGGGCAAACCCGUCUCUGUGGCAAAAGAGUGGGAAGAGCUUCGAGUAGGGGUGACAGACCUAUCGAACCUAGUUAUAGCUGGUUGCCUGGGAACUGGAUAAAAGUUCAGCCUCCCGGCUUCUCUCUUCAUCCUUAUCCUAUUUCCCAAUGAUUCCUAAAGAAACCGCGAGAGUUAGUCAAAGGGGGGACAGCCCCUUUGAACCARGAUACAACUUUUCCAGGAGGGUAAAGAUCAUAAUUUUCAAGGCAAGAAUGUUUUGGUGGGCCUAAAAGCAGCCAUCCCUACAGAAAGCGUUAAAGCUCAAGCAUACUCCUCGCCGUAUAUCCUGAUAACCCAAUCUUAGCCCCCUAAUCCUACCAGGCCGCCCCAUGCAAGCAUGGGGGCGACCAUGCUAAAAUGAGUAAUAAGAGGGGCCAAAGCCCCUCUCCCCGCACACGUGUACCUCGGAACGGACCCCCCCACCGAAAAUUAACGGCCCAAACCAAAGAAGGUAUUGGACAAACGUAAACAUGACCUAGAAAACCGUCCAAAACAUAACCGUUACCCCCACACUGGUGUGCUUAAAGGGAAAGACUAAAAGAAAGAGAAGGAACUCGGCAAACACAUGAAGCCUCGCCUGUUUACCAAAAACAUCGCCUCUUGCAAAACUCAAGAAUAAGAGGUCCCGCCUGCCCAGUGACACUUUAGUUCAACGGCCGCGGUAUUUUGACCGUGCAAAGGUAGCGUAAUCACUUGUCUUUUAAAUGGAGACCUGUAUGAAUGGCACCACGAGGGCUUGACUGUCUCCUCUUUCAGGUCAAUGAAAUUGAUCUCCCCGUGCAGAAGCGGGGAUGAGCCCAUAAGACGAGAAGACCCUAUGGAGCUUUAGACACGAAGGCAGACCAUGUUAAGGACCCUUGAAUAAAAGACUGAACUUAGUGGCCCCCUGUCCUGAUGUCUUCGGUUGGGGCGACCAUGGGGAAACAAACAUCCCCCGUGCGGAAUGGGAGGACCACCCCUUUCUUUCUCUUCCCUCUCCUCCCACAACUAAGAGCUACAGCUCUAACUAGCAGAACUUCUGACCAUAAGUGAUCCGGCAAUGCCGAUCAGCGGACCAAGUUACCCUAGGGAUAACAGCGCAAUCCCCUUUUAGAGCCCAUAUCGACAAGGGGGUUUAC
rnacentral:rRNA from 1 species